rnacentral:rRNA from 1 species
GAUGAACGCUAGCGGGAGGCCUAACACAUGCAAGCCGAGCGGUAGAGUUUCUUCGGAAACUUGAGAGCGGCGCACGGGUGCGUAACACGUGUGCAACCUACCUUUAUCUGGGGGAUAGCCUUUCGAAAGGAAGAUUAAUACCCCAUAAUAUAAUGAUUGGCAUCAAUUAUUAUUGAAAACUCCGGUGGAUAGAGAUGGGCACGCGCAAGAUUAGAUAGUUGGUGAGGUAACGGCUCACCAAGUCAAUGAUCUUUAGGGGUCCUGAGAGGGAGAUCCCCCACACUGGUACUGAGACACGGACCAGACUCCUACGGGAGGCAGCAGUGAGGAAGAUUGGACAAUGGGUGAGAGCCUGAUCCAGCCAUCCCGCGUGAAGGAUGACGGUCCUAUGGAUUGUAAACUUCUUUUGUACAGGGAUAAACCUACCCUCGGGAGGGUAGCUGAAGGUACUGUACGAAUAAGCACCGGCUAACUCCGUG